rnacentral:rRNA from 1 species
UACGUAGGCAGCAAGCGUUGUUCGGAGUUACUGGGCGUAAAGGGUGUGUAGGCGGUUCUUUAAGUUUGCUGUGAAAUCUCCCGGCUUAACCGGGAGGGUGCGGUGGAUACUGAGGGACUAGAGUACGGGAGAGGAAAGUGGAAUUCCUGGUGUAGCGGCGAAAUGCGUAGAUAUCAGGAGGAACACCGGUGGUGUAGACGGCUUUCUGGACCGUAACUGACGCUGAGACACGAAAGCGUGGGUAGCAAACAGG